UACGAAGGGUGCAAGCGUUACUCGGAAUUACUGGGCGUAAAGCGCGCGUAGGUGGCUUCGUAAGUCCGCUGUGAAAGUCAAAGGCUCAACCUUUGAAAGCCGGUGGAUACUGUGAAGCUAGAGUACGGAAGAGGCGAGCGGAAUUCCUGGUGUAGCGGUGGAAAUGCGCAGAUAUCAGGAGGAACACCGUAGGCGAAGGCGGUC
rnacentral:rRNA from 1 species